AGCUUUGCGCAGUGGCAGUAUCGUAGCCAAUGAGGUUUAUCCGAGGCGUGAUUAUUGCUAAUUGAAAAAAGUGUCUUUUCCAAAAGACUGAAUAUGACAUCUGCAGAGCAG
rnacentral:snRNA from 1 species